CAGUAGCCGCGGUAAUACGAAGGGGGCUAGCGUUGCUCGGAAUGACUGGGCGUAAAGGGCGCGUAGGCGGAUUGUUUAGUUAGGCGUGAAAUUCCCGGGCUUAACCUGGGGACUGCGCUUAAUACAGGCAGUCUAGAGUGAGGAAGAGGGUUGUGGAAUUCCCAGUGUAGAGGUGAAAUUCGUAGAUAUUGGGAAGAACACCGGUGGCGAAGGCGGCAACCUGGUCCUUGACUGACGCUGAGGCGCGAAAGCGUGGGGAGCAAACAGGAUUAGAUACCCCCGUAGUCCCUGUCUCUUAUAC
rnacentral:rRNA from 1 species